CCAGCAGCUACAUAAGAUGUGCCUCUUCCCCUUUUGCCAUGACUAUAAGUUUCCUGAGGCUUCUCCAGCCCUGUGGAACUGUGAGUUAAUUAAACCUCCUUUCUUUAGAAAUAAUCCAGUCUUGGGUAUGCUUUAUAGCAGUGUGAAGACAGACUAAUACAGAUGUUACUAAUAUAAUUGUUUAGGG